CGGUGACGUGCUUUCAAGCCGCCGCUGUCGAUAUCGUCUUACGAGGUAACGUCAGAAACAUUUAUGAAUAAUGAAUCACAAGUGCUCAGGUGGAGAGCUGCAAACGAGCGGGUAGCUGGUUUAUUCCUGCUGAAGAGAAAAGAAACACUUACGUUUCGGCUGUGGAGCCUUCUUCAGAAAGGAAAAGGCUGUGUGCGUUUUCCGUGACGCGGUGUCCUGACAGCAGCGCCGGCGUCCCCGCCGCCGGGACGGGCCCGCGGGAGGAGAGGAGCGCGGCACGAUGCAGAGGCGCUGGAGGAGACGUCCGCGGCUCUUCGCCGGCUCUCCUACGGGAUGUUUUCCAGUAAACAAAGGCUUCCUGUUGUCCGCCGAGGUGGCAAGCGGAUGCUUUUAUUGGAGCCAAGUUUACACGGCCUGCUGGGAGGGGACUUCCCUUCGGCAUGCCACAGCCCGGGGGCUGGGCAGGGCUGUGCUGUCACUCUCACCCUGCGCCACGGGCUCCAGCGGGGCAGCCAGGGAAGGCGAGAGACCCGAGCCCGAUAGCGCUGCCGACGAGAGCGCUUGAAAUGCUGUGUCUCGGGCUCACCAGGAAGCUGUAACGAGCCGUAUCGGGCACCACGCACCAUCAUGUGGGAGGAAUCCCACUCCAUCUGAUGGCUGAAGCUUGCAAACCAGUGGGCAAACAUGUCAAAACGUCCUAAGGCCUGUUGUAAUGGGAGUGUUUUUGCUUCGCUUAAACUGCUUGUGAUCUGAUAGCUGUUAGUUGGAUGAAAACAUGCAACAAUCAAGUUUGAAAAUCAAAGCUUGGUUGCAUUAGGGUCUGCAUUUUCUCUCAGACCCUCGCCACUUGGCUUUUUCUAGACCGCAUAACCAUGAUGGACCUAAGCAUGUACCCCUGAUCGUGUAAUGCCCCAUUCAUUUAGCCAUGUCAGGCUCUAUUUUAAAAUAACCAUAUUUAUAUUAAGCAUAUUAGAACUUGGGUUGAAAUGAGAUGAUUAGAAAUUCAGUUAGCUGGGUAUUUUUCCAAGGUUUUCCUUUACAAUAGUAUGAUUUUAUACAUGUAACUAUUGCAAAAGCAAUGGAGGGUUUCUUGCAUCACCCUGUGCUGCAGCAAUACUUACAGACUAGUUUUAUGGUGAACAUCGUCUCGGAGCCAUACAGCCAGGGCACAGCAGUGUAGUGAAACUAUACAACUGCACACACGCCUUCAUCAGGCCAACACGGCUCAGGGACAGUUUCCCAGACCCCACUGUGAUUCAGUGGCUCAAACAAAUCAACAGGUCAAGAGUGAUGUCAUGAUGCUUGCAGAAGAUUAUUGCGGUGAAUGUGCACGGUGUUCCUGCAGUUGUCUCUUAGCUUUGUCAUGCUGCUCUGUAUGUAUUUGCUCUGCUGUCGUCCGCGUGUGCCUGCUGUAGGCGCCUCACAGUGCUUCUGCGCCGCUUGCCCUCCCCGAAGCGGCACUGGCAUUGCCCUGGUGCUCGAAGAAGAGGUUUGUCAGUGGAGUGCUGAGCAGCAGGGCGAGAGCUGGAAGCAUGCGGCCAGCAGCCGCCGCGCUCUUCCCAGGAGAGACAGGAGCCUCCCUGCCGGGCCCGGCAGCUCGUGGGCACUGAGUCACACCGGGCAGCGCCAGCAUCCGAGAGCCUUUUUCCACCCCUCCUGAUUAAUCCCCGGGCUCCCAACGCCUUUGUGUUCACGGUUUCUUCUGUCUGUUUCCUGUUAUUUUACACUGGGCUUCGUUCGCGCUGAACAAUAUCCUGACGGGCUCUUAUUACGACAGAGGCUGCUGGCGGCCGAGUCCAGGCCAGUUUCGGAGCCAGGGACGGACUGGCUGCUGCUCUCCCAGGCGCUCCUCCAGCCUGCCGCUCGCCAGACUCCCCUCGGACAAGAGUGGACGCAGGGAUCGGGCGAGGGCACCGCGGCACAAUCCCGUUACACUUUCCCUCUCUCAAGUUCUCUCCAGUCCCGACUGGCUGACCAGCGUGCUGCACGUCCACAGGAUCUUGAUUCCUUUCAGCUCAGGGACGUAGCUGGGUGGUCUCUGAACUGAUUCCCAAGCAGCCCCAAGGAUCAAAGCUGUGGCAGCACUGCAGUGUCCCUUGUGUAAGUGUAAGAGCCUAGGAGGUGCAAGGGAGGGGAGGGAGGGAUGCCAAGUGCUGAAUGCUGGGAAAGGUGAGCUAGCUUCCUGUAUUUUAGUCUCAGACCUUCGCCUGUUGAGAUCUAUUUUACUUUCAAAGUAAGUUACUUUCCACACCUACACAGCCAUGCAGCUCUCCCUAGAGGAACAGAAGGGUAGCACAAAAACUGCGAUAAGAUCCACAUUUCUGCAGAGCAGCGCCGUUUACUGCAUGGGUUGCAAGUGACUUGUAGUAUUACUCUUUCAGGGACUGUCACUGCAGUUGCACCUGUAGAUGAUACAGGAAAUGAAAUACCAGCAGGUCAGGCCUAUCGGACAUUGUUGUCAGAGGGGCUUCACUGUGUGCUGGCCCUCGCUCCACAGGAUUUGAGUUUAAUAAGCCCGUUCGUUUGCAGUGUCUGGGCUCUUCCUUGUUAUCAACACAGGCAUGUAUUUUGCUGCACACAUUUGCAUUCAAGCAGUAGCCAUCAGGGUGGGGGGGCUCUCUAGAUCAAGAGUCUCCCCCCCCCCAGUCUUAAGGAGUUUUAAAGAACUGCAGCACAAUGAACUCCCUGGGAAACGCAAAGCAUGCUUCCUCUAAUUAAUGUUCCCUGGGGCUGGAAAACAAAUUGACACGAAUUAGCUUCUGUUUGUUUUAGGAAGACGGGCUGGGAUUUCUUUGUUCUGCAAAUAAAUUCCUUUGCUCCCCCCCACAGAAGGGUUUCCCAAAUUGAGCCCCCAGUGCCAGACUCAUCAGCGCGAAGCUCCUGCAUCUCUUUGUUCUGUCCCAGCUCUGUGUAGACCUCCGGGACAUGUGGGGAGGCUGCAGAGCACAGACAGGCCAGGUCAAGAGCGAUCACAGGCUGUGGGUACCCCUGAGGGGCAGACCUUGGGUCCCCCUUGUUCUUCUGUUUCCAGAGAUGCACUUUAGGGGGUCUGAAUGGACUUCGUAUGUGUUCAAUAAGGUUCUCCGUCUUGCAUCACAUAUGAGCCCUUUCCAGAAAGUCAUGUUUAGCAAACCAUGGACAUGAUUGACUUAAAAAAAAAAAGAAAAUGCCUAUUAUUUUCUCAGUCAUCCAUUUCGCUACAUUCCUGGACAGCCCGAUCCUGGCUCUGGUUUCAUAUCAGCAGGCUGUACUGAUAAGCACUCCAGUGGGCUGUGCAGAGCUUGUAGUCAGAUAAGAUCUGCAGGUAAUGCUGACCCAGACAGGGAACAAACAACCUCCUCAGUCUGUUAGCUCCUCCCAGAUGUGAACACACAGUGAUAACAACUGCAGCGCUUAUUUUAGGUAAGGAGAUUCAAACAUCCCUGGAUGGAAACAAUGUCAAAGUUUAUUGAAUGCAUAAUGAAGGGAAAUUGCUUCUUGUGAAUAUAAUACCUGCUCCACUUCAAACUUUGGUGGAAAACAGACAUUUUCUAAAUACUCAAAAAUCUGUACAAAAAUGUUCAAACAGUGUGAGAUUUAUUAUACACUAGUGACUUUAUUUCAUUGUGAAAGUGGAGGGUGUUUAGACUAUUAGAUGAGUCAUGCUGGAAACACAGUCCCGCUGGGCAGCAGUGUGGACUGGUGGCCUAGGACUCUUCACUCCCUGGAAGGUUAUGGGUUCAGAUCCUGGGUAGAGACCUGCUAUUGUUCCUCCUGACCAGGGAGGCUCGCUCAGAUUGCUCCAGUAACACUUCUGACUGUACAAAAUAACAGAAAGUGAUGUUGGAUAAAGAUAUUUAUGAAUUUGCUAACCUUGGGAACUAAUAACAUCUGGCAGAUAUACUGUAGUUAUAUAAAGAUAUUUAUAUGGUCUAAACAUCUAAAUUGCAACAAGAAAUAUUAAAUCUGAUUAUUGCGGUCCUGUCCAGUAGCCAGGAUGCUGUUUUGGGGGCUGUAUGCUGGUGUUAAGGAAUGAGGAUAGAAACCACCUCAGAUGAGAGAGACUGUUUAUUCUUUCAGGCUUCAGUCAGCAAAACACAGUACUAUCAGCCCUGUGAUAAUGGGAGAGGUUUCAGAUUGAAGCCGUUGUUACUUUAACAGAGGUUUAGAACUGUCUAUUUAAGAACACACUUUAGCCUAUAAUUUUUAAAAAACAAAAAUUCUCAACAUUAGAUGUGCAUAUGUUGUGCAUACGUGAAUAUUGUGCAUACAGUAUGUUGUAUAUUUAUUUAUUGUUGUCAUUCUGUAAAGCACUUUGAGAAGGUUAGUGCUGUUUUCUCACAGGUCCUAAGUUCAAUACUGAGAAUACUCUGUGUGGAAUCUGCAUGUUCCUGUCUUGCAAACUGCAGUUUCAGGUUGGGCUCUCGGUUGCUCUUACCGCUUGCCAGGAAUAAGUGACUUUCUUCAGAUACACCAUUUAAACUGGACAGUAUGCCUGUGGAAAGCAGGAGGAUACUGGGCACCUGAAGAACAUUCAUGCAGCCACAUGGAGAGCAUGCAAACUCCAUACAGACAGAAAUUCCAGGCUGGAAUCUAACACAAGGCUGCACUAGAGAGGAACAUCUUCGGGGCUGGAGGAGAGUACCACUUGUAUUGGGGAUCUGUUUUCUGCAUAAAAACAGCACAAAAAGUGUUUUGUCGUGUUUUGUCACGUGCUGCUCCUUCCAGGUGCCAGAUCUAUACCUGAGAGAAACCCGCUCUCAUGAAACAGUAAGUUCCCAAAAUAAAUAACAAAAUGUGUUGGAUCAGUACUUGGGUGUUGAAAACCAGAGCAGCCUCACAUGAUGUCAGUGACACUGUAAACAUCCAUUAAAUGAGUGGAUAUUUGUUUUCUUUUGUGUAAAUUGUUUUGACAUUCAAAUAAUAGUGAGAAAAAAUACACUGGGCUUUUUUUUCCCUCAGAUUGCCGUGUGCACACAGGGGCUUUUAUUCCUGUGAACGUCUCCACAGGAAGGGGAGAUUGACUGGCACAGAGCAUUCUGUGUGCAGAGAGCCAAGUUAUCAGGCUGGACAUCUCUCUUCUCCCCUUCCUAUUGGAUAGCAGAGCCCAUUUGUCUUAAGGGAAGUAAGUACCUCCCUGUUAUGUCUGAGGCUCCACUAAGCAUUCCAAAAGCAGCUAAUCACAUCUUUUGCGUAACACCUUUACAAAAACAGCUUAUCUACGUACAGACAAUGCUAUAUAUAAGUGCCAUUUAGACUAGUUGUUAUUCAUAGGAGUAGCAUAUGUAACUCAUAUACUAGACUCAUUUCCACAGCUUAUGCAAUAAGCAAAAGUGUCUCACUUUUGAAGUUGUUAUUUUUCCCUUUGCAGCAGGGGUUCUUAUCAUGUUGAAAGCAGUGCCCAGGCAUGAGUGUGAAAUGGAUUAUUGAGCGUUUGUGCAACAUGUUACUGGUUCUCCCUGAUCCCUGAUCCCCAGUUUGAGGUACUGCCUUAGCCUGGAAUUGGCCAAGUCCUCACCCAGUCCAGGAAGAUACAUUCCCAAAAUAAGACCUUUUUUAAACCUUUGACAGGAAAUUGAUAGUGUUAGGUCUGUGUUAACACACACUCAUCCUUUUGCCACUUCCUAUAAUUAAAAAAAAUAUUUGAACUCUUUACUUGCAUCUUGGUUUCAUAUCCCAUGUUGCCCUUGCACAAUAAAGUCUCUCACUUUACUGUAAAUGUGUUGGAAAUACAUAGAAGUGUCUCCAGAGCUACAUAUCAAGCAUUGUGCACUUUUGCUGUGGCCUGUGUAAAAAAAUUGUACAGUUUUGUGUUGGUUCUCUGAAAAGUCCCACAUGAGACAGGUAUAUGCACAUCUAGAAAUUAAGAAAUGCACAUUUGAAGGCGUAACAGUUGUAGAAGACCGAGUGAGGGUCAAGACAGUGACUAUGCGAGGGAAGGUUUUCUGUUUGCACCUAAGACAGCUGUCUUUCUGCACCUGAAGCCUGCGAUUUUUCACACCUGU